rnacentral:rRNA from 1 species
UAACGCGUAGGUAACCUGCCUUGUAGCGGGGGAUAACUAUUGGAAACGAUAGCUAAUACCGCAUAACAAUGGGUGACUCAUGUCAUUUAUUUUGAAAGGGGCAAAUGCUCCACUACAAGAUGGACCUGCGUUGUAUUAGCUAGUAGGUGAGGUAACGGCUCACCCAGGCGACGAUACAUAGCCGACCUGAGAGGGUGAUCGGCCACACUGGGACUGAGACACGGCCCAG